AUUGAACGCUGGCGGCAUGCCUUACACAUGCAAGUCGAACGGUAACAGGUCUUCGGAUGCUGACGAGUGGCGAACGGGUGAGUAAUACAUCGGAACGUGCCUAGUAGUGGGGGAUAACUACUCGAAAGAGUGGCUAAUACCGCAUGAGAUCUACGGAUGAAAGCAGGGGAUCGCAAGACCUUGUGCUACUAGAGCGGCCGAUGGCAGAUUAGGUAGUUGGUGGGAUAAAAGCUUACCAAGUCGACGAUCUGUAGCUGGUCUGAGAGGACGAUCAGCCUCACUGGGACUGAGACACGGCCCAGACUCCUACGGGAGGCAGCAGUGGGGAAUUUUGGACAAUGGGCGCAAGCCUGAUCCAGCAAUGCCGCGUGCAGGAUGAAGGCUUUCGGGUUGUAAACUGCUUUUGUGCGGAACGAAAAGCCCCGGGUUAAUACCCUGGGGUCAUGACGGUACCGUAAGAAUAAGCACCGGCUAACUACGUGCCAGCAGCCGCCGUAA
rnacentral:rRNA from 1 species